CUCUAAGUACGGUCGGAAAUCGUAGGUAGAGUGUAAAGGCAAAAGAGAGCUUGAUUGCAAGACAUAUAGGUCGAGCAAGGAUGAGAAUCGGACUUAGUGGUCCGGUGGUUCUGCGUGGAAGGGCCAUCGCUCAACGGAUAAAAGCUACCCUGGGGAUAACAGGCUUAUCUCCCCCAAGAGUCCACAUCGACGGGGAGGUUUGGCACCUCGAUGUCGGCUCAUCAC
rnacentral:rRNA from 1 species